UCAAACUUGGUCAUUUAGAGGAAGUAAAAGUCGUAACAAGGUUUCCGUAGGUGAGUAAACGUCUCCAACGCCCUUGUUUUAACUGUCAGCAUGCUAACGUGAAUCUAGGUGAACCUGCGGAAGGAUCAUUAUCGGGAAUGCCCUCGUGGCGUAACCUGCAACCCUGUGCCGUUAUCGACCCUUUUAUCUUUUGGCGGGUCCGCCCGCCGGAGGAGAUCUCAAACUCGUUAAAGAUGUCAUGUUCUGAACAAUGAUUAAAUCAAUCAAAACUUUCAACAACGGAUCUCUUGGUUCUGGCAUCGAUGAAGAACGCAGC
rnacentral:misc_RNA from 1 species